rnacentral:rRNA from 1 species
AAUAUGGAACGAUAGGGGCAAGCAUGAUCCACCCAUGCCGGGUGCAGGAAGAGUGCCCGAUAGGUGUAAAAUGGGUUGUUACAGGAUGAAACACGCCCUCGUGAGGGGGCUUGACGGUACUGUGAGAAUAAGGAUCGGCUAACUCCGUGUCAGCAGCCGCGGUAAUACGGAGGAUCCAAGCGUUAUCCGGAAUCUUUGGGUUUAAAGGGUCUGUAGGUGGAUAAUUAAGUCAGAGGUGAAAGUCUGCAGGUCAACUGUAGAAUUGCCUAUUAUACUGGUUAUCUUGAGUCAUUAUGAAGAGGUUAGAAUAUGUAGUGUAGCGGUGAAAUGCAUAGAUAAUACAUAGAAUACCAAUUGCGAAGGCAGAUCACUAAUAAUGUACUCACACUGAUGGACGAAAGCGAGGGGAAAGAACAGGAUUAGAUACCCUGGUAGUCCACGCCGUA